UACAGAGGUCCCAAGCGUUUGUUCGGAUUCACUGGGCGUAAAGGGUGCGCAGGUGGCAUGGUAAGUUUGAUGUGAAAGCCCCGGGCUUAACCCGGGAAUGGCAUUGAAUACUACUGUGCUGGAGGAUUGGAGGGGGGACUGGAAUUCUUGGUGUAGCAGUGAAAUGCGUAGAUAUCAAGAGGAACACCAGUGGCGAAGGCGAGUCCCUGGACAAUACCUGACACUGAGGCACGAAAGCCAAGGGAGCAAACAGG
rnacentral:rRNA from 1 species